GUGCUUGCUUUGGCAGCACAUAUAGUAAAAUUGGAACGAUACAGAGAGAUUAGCAUGGCCCCUGCACAAGGAUGACACGCAAAUUUGUGAAGUGUUCCAUAUUUUU
ensembl:snRNA U6 U6 spliceosomal RNA